rnacentral:rRNA from 1 species
GACAGAGGUCCCGAGCGUUAGGCGGAAUCACUGGGCUUAAAGCGUGUGUAGGCGGCUUGGUAAGUACCUUGUGAAAUCCCACGGCUUAACCGUGGAACUGCUUGGUAUACUGCUUAUCUUGGGCCACUUAGGGGUUACCGGAACAAACGGUGGAGCGGUGAAAUGCGUAGAUAUCGUUUGGAACGCCAAUGGUGAAAACAGGUAACUGGGAGUGUGCCGACGCUGAGACACGAAAGCCAGGGGAGCGAACGGG